GUUUUGAUAGUUUAUAAUAAAACAUUGGUUUUGUAAACCACAAUUAAGACUUCUUUCAAAACU
rnacentral:tRNA from 1 species